GAGGCGGAUGUUGCAGUGAGCUGAGAUUGCCCCACUGCACUCCAGCCUGGUGACAGGGCAAGAUUCCAUUUCAAAAAAAAAAAAAAAAAAAAAAAAGUGUGGUCAGGUUGGGCCUCAGAAGGCAAGAUUUGAACAAAGACUUGAAGGAGAUGAGAGAGUUAGCCAAAAGAGGAUCUGGGAGAAGAGAGUUGCAGGCAGAGAGAGCUAGAAAAGGUCCUAAGGCAAGAGUGUGUCUGGUGAAUGCAGGGAACAGAAGAGGCCAGCAAAGCAGAGCAGAGUGAGCCAGAAAGAGCAUGAAGGUAAGGAAGAUAAAGCAGGCAGAUCAAUGCAGGGCCUACAUGCAGGACUUCAUCAGUGCAGGACUUUGAAGUGUAUUCUGAGUAAAAGCAAACAAUUAUAGGGUUUUGCUUGUUUUGUUUGUUUGUUUGUUUUUGAGGCAGAGUUUCGCUCUGUCACCUCACCAGGCUGGAGUGCAGUAGUGCCAUCUUGGCUUACUGCAACCUCCGCCUCUCGGGCUCAAGCGAUUCUCGUGAGAGACAGGGUUUUGCCAUGUUGGCUGGGCUGGUCUUAAACUCCCAGGCUCAAGCAAUCCACCAACCUCGGCCUCCCAAAGUGCUGGGAUUACAGGCGUGAGCCACUGUGCCCGGCCUACUUUUUGUUUUUGAAGCAGGGUCUUGCCCUGUCGCCCAGGCUGGUGUGCAGUGGUGCGAUCUCGGCUCACUGCAACUUCCACCUCCCAGGCUUAAGGCAUCCUCCCACCUCAGCAGGGACUAUAGGCAGGCGCCAUCAUGCCCGGCUAAUUUUUGUAUUUUUUGUAGAGACGGUUUCGCCAUGUUGCCCAGGCUGGUCUCUAACUCCUGGGCUCAAGCGUUCCACCUGCCUCGGCCUCCCAAAGUGCUAGGAUUACAGGUGUGAGCCACUGCACUGGGCCUAUUGUAGGGUUUUGAGAGGAGUGGCAUUUAUGACUUACAAUUUAAAAGGAUCUCUCUGCUUGGUGGAGAACAGACUGUGAGAGACAAGGUGGAAGUAGAGAGUGUGGUGAGGCAGUGGUCCCUGUGAGAGAUGCUGGUGGCCAGGACUAGGUGACAGGAGAGGAGGUGGUGAGCAGUGGUCAGAUUCUGGAAAUGUUUCAAAGUCAUCAACAGACUUUCCUGACAGACUAGAUGUUAGCGUGAAAGAAAGACAGGAGUCAAGGGCGCCUGAACAACCCGAAGGCCGGGGUUGCUAUCAACUGAAUGCGCAAGCUACAGGUGGAGCUUAUUUGAAAUAUUUAUUAGACAUCCAAAUGAUUGUCUAAUCAACGUCAUCCGUAGACGGUAUUUAGAGCCGUGAAUAUGACAUGUAUUUACUAUUUGAAAAACAAAUUUGUAUAUUUGUUUAUGUAUAUAUAUUAAUGUGCAUAUAUAUAAUAUAUAUAAAAUAUAUGUAUAGGUAUAUGUAUAUAUAAUGCCUCUUUUCUAAACAUAGGCACAAAAACUGGUCACUUUGGUUACCUCUCAGAGAACUGAGUGGCUGGAGAUUGAGGGUUAAAUGGAGUCUUAUUUUUCAUGGCAUAUCAAUUUAAACCUUUUAAUUUUGAACCAUAUGAAUAUAUGAUAGUUUAAAAUUAAAAUAACAUUUAAAAAAUAAUAAAAAUUACAAGCCACAUUAUAAAGCUGCCACAAAGCUGUGGCUUAAUGGUUUUUUAUUGUUAAUUUUUCAGAAAAUGCUAAGAUAAAUUAAUUUUACUAAUUCCAAAGGUAUUCAUUGAAUACCUACCACAUAUAAGAUACUGAAUUUUUUUUUUUAAUGGAGUCUCGCUCUAUCAGCGUGAGCCACUGCACCCACCUGUACUGAAAUUUUUAAAAAACCUACACGAUGUGGUCUCUUCUUCAACAUGAUAAUGUGUUGAAUCUGAAUGUAAAUCUAAAUCGGCCUUUUAGAACUAAUUAGUUGCAAAAGUUACACCUUAUUAGGAUUAGCAAGCAGCUGGUUUUGUAAAACACAGCAGCUGGGGUUUUUGAACACAUAGUGUGUAGUUCAUUAUCUGGCUAUUUCUGACCCCAGAAAAAAAUUCAGAAUUAUUUUAUGACCCCAAACUAAAUUAAAUAUCUUAUAAGGGUUGAUCAUAUGUAGAAAAGAAAACCAAUACUUGAUCUACCAUUUUAGCUCUUGCUCAAUACUUUCUGGGUUAAAAAAAUUUUUUAAUAUAGGAAAGUCCAAAGACUAGUAUGAGAAACACCUAUGGCUCACCACCCAGAAUUAACAAAUAUCAACAUUUGUUCAUGUUUGCCUUGCAUAUUUUAAUAACACAUCUAAAAUGGUGCAGAUAAAAUGUAGGUCUUCUUUAUUCUUCCAGUCCCAUUCUUUCUCCUCCAUAGAGAUAACCACUCUCCUAGAGAGAGUGUGCAACCUUCCAGCAUAAAUAAGAUAUAAAUUUUAAAUAAAAGCUAUUCUUUUCUACACGUUAUUCUGCAACUUGCCUUUUUUUUACCUAACAUUGCAUUUUGAUCUAUCCAUGUUGACAUAUGUCACCGUUUUAUUUUCUAGAGAGACGUGAAAUCAUAGCAAUUUUUAUUUUUCAUAAGGACAUCAUAUAUGAAUUAGAAUAGGAAUGUUUGCUAACUGCCCUAAAACAUAAAGAUGGUGCUCCUGAACGCUACACCAGUUGCCCCAGGGCACUGUAGUGAACUCACAGGGAGGCAGCCGGACAUUUUUAAAUUUCAAGGGAAACACAGUGACAUUUGCCAGCUACCAUGCAAACUGCCGUUAUUAAAUUGUUUAGACCCAUUAGGCACUUGCUUUGGCCUAGGUCCAGAACAAUUAGGUACUUCUUUUGGCCUAGAGUUUCCAUGAAAAAAACUACUGAAACACUAAAGAUGCUGGGAACCAAGAAAGUUUAAGAAUCUCUGUAAUAAGAAUAAGAAAUCUAUACGAGGCUGGGCACGGUGGCUCACGGUGGUAAUCCCAGCACUUUGGGAGGCCAACAAGGGUGGAUCACUGGAGGUCAGGAGUUCGAGACCAGCCUGGCCAACAUGGCAAAACCCCAUCUCUACUAAAAAUACAAAAAUUAGCCAGAUGUGGUGGCGGGCGCCUACAGUCCCAGCUCCCCAGGAGGCUGAGGCAGGAUAAUGGCUUGAACCCGGGAGGUGGAGGUUGCAGUGAGCCAAGAUUGUGCCACUGCACUCCAGGCUGGGCAACAAGAGUGAGACUUUAUCUCAACAAAAAAAAGAAAAAAACUAUACAAACUGCUGUUCUCUGUCAGGCUCCACUACUCUGGUGUGCAACUGCAAGAAUUACAGACAGAGUGCCUCAGAGAAACUGACUGGCCUUGAAAACCUAAAACUAUUCAUUGAUAAAAACAGUGAGUGAUGAUAUGGAGCACCUGGAAGGAACAGUUUGGUGUUACAGCUCUAAAAAUCUCCAGCAAACUCUAUUAGGUGAGCUUCUAAAUUAUUUCAAACAUAUGAUUUUCAUCAAAAAUGCCCCUCAUGCUGUGAUAAAACUUAAAUGUGCAUCUGGCUAUUUACCUAUGCAAAGGGAGGGCAAGAGUUGAGAGGGAUCAGGUAGAGCAAUGGGUGUUGAAAGGCUGCAACUGAAGAAAAGGAAGACCUCAGGCAUGGUUUUUAAUGAAUAGUCAAUCAACCUAUUUUACUCACAGGUGGUACUUCUGAGAUUUAACCUAUGCUUCAUCCCUCCUGAAAAACCGGAACUCAGCUUGAGGAAUAUUUAUUGAAAACUUACCCUCAUUUUUACUUAAAAGGAUAGCAUCAGGGACCCUAUUUUAGGAAUACUGUGUCAGCCUAAAUAAUAACCAGAGACAGACUCUCUAAAAGAAAGGAUAUUUAUUUAAAGAUAGAGCAUUGCAAUGUCAGUAUGCAUGCCAUAGUAAACUAUGUGUGUGUUCAGGGAGGUAAAGACAAAGGUUUUUAAAGGGAAAAAAUGAGGAAGAUUACAUCAUUGUUUUGAAAUAAUUAUCCGUGGCUACAAAGAUCAACAAUAGGGGUGAUGCCAGCCUGAGGUUGGACAGGCAGUAGUGGGACAGGUGUCCUUGCAGAGGUACUUUUUAUAUAAGGUGGCAAUGGCCUUUGUGCAAGGUUGUGGGUUUUGCAGUUUUUUGUGACAGUUUUUGUUACCAGACAUACACGGAUGAGAACCCUCUCUUUGUGGCCUUCCCGGCUCUAUUUGUCAUGGUUUUCUUAACUUUAGCAAUUCCAUUUUGAUUCUAACAACUAUCACACUUGCAUUUGUGCUUAUAUAGCACCAGGAGUACUAUCAGGACACUUUGAGUUUCCCUGCAGAGGGAAAGGUGAUUGAGUAGAUAGGAAAGAUGACAAAGCUAUUCUCCUCAACCAUGGACACAUCUGCACAUGUAAUCCCAGGGCCAAGGCCACACUUGGCUUGCUUCGCUGAUCUCUCUUUUACAUAAAUUCCAUUUAGCAUUUUGGCUACCAGAUAAAUUUCUUUCCAUUUAAAUAUAAAAAGUCCUAUCAGAGGAAUGAAGGAUUGCAAUUUUAUAAAAGGUCAUAAGGAGAGGUUAUAACAAUCUUUAACAGGAAUAUGAAAAAGCCUGAGUUUGGGGGAAAUUUUCUGAACCUGAAAAAGGAAGAAACAGUAGCCAUAAGGGGAAAUGGCUUUUGAAUUUUAACAAAAUGAACUUCGUAUGUUGCUAAAAAAUAUGAGCUGAAAAUAUACUGCUUUUUUUCCCUGAGUUAUACCUAUCUCCUGAAGGACCAAGAGUGGCCCGUGUGAUGUCACUUGGCAACACUAAUCGAUGAGAUGUCUCGAUCUAAGGCAUCUUAGCACCAAUAACAAAAACAUUUUAAAAUCAAUGAUUAUAUAACCUAUUCCUAUUUUCUUUGAGAGAAGAGCUCUUCCUAAAAAUACCACCAACCAUAUUCUCUUUCAGCUACAAAUGAAUUCAAAUGUAAUUUUUUUCUAUAACAUUAAUGUCAGGUUUUAUGACCCACUGCAGAGAAAUAAAUAGUUUAAAGUGUUUUUGGACUACUGGCAUUUAAAUGGAAAGCCAGCCUUAAGGUCGUGUGUUAGGUCAUGUAAAGCCUGAAGCUGUCCUAGGUCAGCGUCAGAUUCCGAGUCAUGUUUGCCUAGUCCGCACAUGACUGCAGUACUUGAAUAAGUGCCUACAGCAGACAUUUCUCAUUUUCCCAGAACUAUGAUUUGUAGGUAAAGAAAUGGAACUGUGGUGUAUCCAACAUCAUGUCAUAUAUGCUAAGGUAAAAUCUGGCACUAAAUAAGAAAAAUGGUUUAACUCUUAAAUGGAAUGAAACUUUUAAAAAAUCUGAUUUUUUCAGCUCUUAAAUAGGGAAGUUAGGCUGGAGACAGUAGGCUCAGUCAUCUCUUAAGCAUUCAUGGAAAAACCUACUAUGUGUAGUCAUUUUGCUAGGGUCAUGGGGCCUACAGAGACAUAUCAGACAGUAGUAGGAGAUGAUAGGUUCAUAAACAAUAACAAUAACAGCACCAUGGCACAUGUAUACCUCUGUAACAAACCUGCACGUUCUGCACAUGUAUCCCAGAACUUAAAGCAAAGUAAAAAAAAAAAAAAAAAGAAAGAACAGAGAAAAAAAAAAUCUUAACCUGUCUCUUGACUUAACAAUUCCACAUCUAGGAAUCUGUUUUGUACAAUACUAGCAAGGAUACAUAAAAGUAUGCAUACAGGAUGCCCACUGUAGCAUUAUGUGUGGUGGCAAAUAAAAGCACUUACUAGAAAAUUAAAAAAUAAUAAUAAUAACAGCACAAUGCCAAAUUGGGGAAUGCCCCAAUAAAGGUAUUAACAAAGGACUGUGUGAGUUCAGAGAAACAUAAUGGCUAGUUUUGACCUGGGACUUGAAGGACCAGUCCAGUUUCAACGGACAGAUUUGGUGAGAAGAUGGGGGUAAUCUAAGCAGAGAGAAAUAUAUGAGGAAGUGUACAGUUAGGAAAAUGUAAUUUAGAAUGAUACAUAAAAGGGGGCCAUGAGAAAUAAAACUGGAAAGAGAGGUCAGGGGUUAAUCAUGGAGGCUCUCCAAUACCAUGCUAGAGAAUUAGGAAACAGGCCUAGCACUGUGGUUCAUGCCUGUAAUCCCAGCAACUUGGGAAGCCAAAGUGGAAAGAUCGCUUGAGCCCAGGAGCUCAAGGCUGCAGUGAGCCAUGGUCUAGCCACUGCACUCCAGCCUGGAGGACAGAGCCAGACCCUAUCUCUUAAAAACAAACAAACAAACAAACAAACAAACAAACAAAGAAUUAGGAAUUUAUUUGCCAGGCAACAUGAUCACGAACACCUUCAAAAUGGACCAGAGAGAUGUCCACAGUAAAAUCAGAAAUAGAGAACUAAAUCAACCAAGUGAUACUGCAUAUCCACAAUGCAGGAAGCUCUUUGUUCAGUGAAGAGAUACUUGCCUAUUAAGAAAAAAAAGCAGGGGGCGGGGAGAAUGAAAGCUUUUUGUUAUUUUGUCCAUUAUUGUAAUUUGGAACUGUUUUCAAAUGUUUGAGAAUAAUAUGACAUUAAGGACAUGGAACAGAAAUGUUUUAUCCAUAUAGAAACUAUAAUAAAUUCAGGUUGAAUAUACCUUAUCCAAAGAAGUGUUUCAGAUUUCAGAUUUUUUUGGCUUUUGGAAUAUUUGCAUAUAAUAAUGAGAUAUCUUGGGGAUGGGACCCAAGUCUAAACACAAAAUUUAUUUAUGUUUCAUAUAUACCUUAUACACAUAUGCUGAAGGUAAUUUUGUCAAUAUUUUAAAUAAUUUUGUGCAUGAAACAAAGUUUGUAUACAUUGAGCCAUCAGAAAGGAAAAGCAUCACUAUCUCAGCCAACCAUUGGACAACCUGUGGUUGUUUGGCAUCACCAUCAUUUCUGACUCUGAAAUUAUAUGCUCAGGCCGGGCACGGUGGCUCAUGCCUAUAAUCCAGCACUUUGGGAGGCCAAGGCAGGUGGAUUGCUUGAGACCAGGAGUUUGAAGCCAACAUAGCGAAACCCCAUCUCUACUAAAAUUAUAAAAAUUAGCUGGGUCCGGUGGUGCACACCUGUAAUCCCAGCUACGAUGAGAGGCUGAGGCAGGGGAGUUGCUUGAACACAGGAGGCAGAGGUUGCAGUGAGUGGAGAUCACACCAUUGCACUCCAGCCUGGGCGACAGAGUGAGAUUCUGUCUCAAAAAAAAAAAAAAAAAAAAUUAUACGCUGCUGAUAGUCAUUUUCAUAUACUUAUUUAUACAUAACUACUUAUUAAAAAUAUGACAUACAUAUCUGGUAUGCGCAGAAAAGAUAUAUUGCAGCUGAAGGUGGCUGGGAAGGUCUUUUUUCCUUUGGGGAUGCUGAAUAAACUAUGUAGUGGGCCUUUGCUUUGACUUUUGGCAUAAGGAUGCUCAACUUGUAAUAUUCUUCAGGCCAAAGUGAGGGAGGAAAAGAAGGGUGCAGUGGGGGCAGGAAGAUGGAAGAAGGAAAUAGGAAAGACAAAAGGAAAAAGGGAAAUGGGCAAGAAAGGAAGGCAGCUGGAGGGCCGCAGAGAGGCCUCAUAGGAGAGAGACAUGGGGGUGGCAAUGCUCAGGCAUACAGCUAGCAGGAAGCUUCCCAAGGUUUCUCAUUUGUUCACUUCCCUCUCUGACAGCUUUCUCCCAUAUUCCAUCACUGGCACAUUCUCUACCGUUUUGAGCUGAAUACUGCUUGCUCCUCUACAAAGCAAGGAUUCGUAGAAUAAAGAGAACCUAAAGGUUUUAUUUAGGCCGUGAUUCACAUGGUGAUAAGACUCUUAACAGCCUAUGAACGAAUAAUGAUCUUAGGAAUUAUCUACUUUUGCAAAAGGCUUUCUACAUAUAUAAUUUUACUGCAAGGACACUUCACUGUUAUUUUUUAUAUUUUUAUUUUAUUUAUUUUUUUUUUGAGACAGAGUCUCGCUCUGUUGCCCAGGCUAGAGUGCUGUGGCGCAAUCUCGGCUCACUGCAAGCUCCGCCUCCCAGGUUCACACCAUUCUCCUGCCUCAGCCUCCCGAGUAGCUGGGACUACAGGUGCCCGCUACCACUCCUGGCUAAUUUUUUGUAUUUUCAGUAGAGACGGGGUUUCACCUUGUUAGCCAGGAUGGUCUCCAUCUCCUGACCUCAUGAUCCAACCGCCUUGGCCUCCCAAAGUGCUGGGAUUACAGGCGUGAGCCACCGCGCCCGGUGUCACUUCACUUUUAAAGAGCCUUCAUAUCUGUCAUCUUAUUUGAGCUUUCAGUUACACAGGAUGAACAUUCUUAUCUUCAUUUUACAGAGCAGAAGAGAUAAAAUGGCUAUAAGGCCUUCCUAAGUAAGGGAUAUCCAUCUCCAAAAGGAUCAUCUGUGGCCAUUUUGAUGUCAUCUUGGUAGAAACUUGAGGAUCUGAGUGGAUCAGAUGUCUGGGGAGUGAGUGAAAACCACGUUUAGUCUUGUUAAAACACCAAUAAUAUUUUAAAAUCAGUGAUUCUAUAACCUGUUCCUGUUUUUUUACUUCAGUGUGGGAAAGAGGUGUGCUAUUUAGUGUAGUGAAAAGGGUACUGGGCUGAAACAGAAGAUCUGAGUUUUAAUAGUAAUAAUAUUAUUAGUUAAUAAAAAUAGCUAUGUUUAGUGAGCACUUAUGGCAUGCCAUACACAGCACUAAGCCCCUUAGUCUUAUUUCUUUUCAUCUCUACCACAACUGUAUGAGGUCAACACUAUUUUUUUUUUUUUUUUUUGAUAAGUGAUGUAGCUAAAGCUAAGUGAGCUGAAGUAAUCUGGCCAAGGGCUUCAGUUCAGGCUCUGUAUCAUUCAGACUAUUUAUACCCUUUUUGAGCUUUUCAUUUCUACAUCUGUAAAAUAAGACCACUGAGAUCAUUUGAGAAAAGGAUAAAGACAUGGAAUAUGCAUCAACAUAAGAGAGUCUGUUACACUAUGUCAGGGGUCGGCAAACUUUUUCUGUAAAGGACAAAUAGGAAGUAUUUUAGGGUUUGUGGGCCACACAGUCUUUGUCAAAACUACUCAAUUCUGCCAUUAUAGAGCAAAGGCAGCCUGAGAUGAUACAUACAGGAAGGAGCAUGACUGUGUUCCAAUAAAACUUUAUUAUAGAUUUUGAAAUUUGGAUUUCAUGUAACUUUCACAUUUCAUAAAAUAUUAUUGUUCUUUCAAUUUUGUUUAACUAUUUAAUAAUUUUAAAAAAUCAUCCUUAGCUUGCAAGCCAUACAGAAACAGGCAGGGGCUGGUUUAUGGAAUGUUACUCUAUUUGGAGAUAUCACUGAUAUCCAUGUUUAUGAUUGGCACAUUUAAGUGAUCAGAAAGGAAAUAUUUUUCAAGUGGAACAAACUGUUUCAUCUCUUCUCACCAAUGACCACUGACCCUACAAUGUCUUCUACUUUUGGUGUGUGCCAUAUCAGAAGAAAUUGCUGGAGCAUGUAAGAAUCUUUAUAUUUUAAGGCUAGCUGAGCUGAGGGUUCAGUAGAGGGCAAAGACCAAACUGAUACCCAAGGCAAGCUCCAGAAAAGAAAUUUCUAGGUAAAGCAUUGUUGCCUGAUAAAGAAAUAGUUUAUUUUUUAAAAUAAAAAUAAAAACAUCAAUCAAGCACUUAAUAUACAUCAGUGAAUAGCCUUUGAGCUCCUACAAGCAUGGGUCUGGGUCUCCGCAAGGUAGUCAGGCUCUUGGCACCAGUAGGCAGACAGGUUUGGAGGCAGCACCAGCAGAAGUGAUCCCGAAGGCACUGUCCUCCACUUUGUCUCCACAUGCAGUCUUCCCAGUGAUCUCCCAGUCACUAGCACCCCAAAAGGCAGUAUCUUGAAACAAAAAUGCGUGUACCACCUUUCUCAUCCACACUCACAGGCCCAUGUGCACAUGCAUAUGGCAUUGUCAGGAUGAGCGCCUAGUGAGAGCCCCUUCAUCUUAUUGGCUUCUUUUGAACUCUUAGACAUCUGGGUGCAGUGAUUCCUUUCAUCUCUCGAUACCCUGACCAAAGGAGUUGGUUUGCGGACAGCUAUUACUUGUACCUAUUAUUGUACAUGUAAAUAUGUUAUAUGGACUAGUUAGACAUUAUGGUGUCCAUUUGAGGUAUGUCUUAAUCUGUUUCAGCUGCUAUAACAAAGUAACAUAAACUGAGUAGCUUAUAAAGAACAGAAAUGUAUUUCUUACAGUUCUGGAGAAGUUUAAGAUCGAGGCACCGAUUUGGUGUCUGAUGAGGGCCCACUUUCUGAUUCAUAGAUGGCUUCUUCUUGCUGUGUCUUCACAUGGUAGAAGGGGCAAGACAGCUCUGGGGCCUCUUUUAUUUAUUUAUUUGGAG
rnacentral:lncRNA from 1 species